rnacentral:tRNA from 1 species
GCUCUAGUAGCUUAAUCACAAAGCACCGGUCUUGUAAUCCGGAGAUUGAGGGCUAAAUCCCCUCCUAGUGCC